UACGGGGGGGGGUAAGCGUUGUUCGGAAUUACUGGGCGUAAAGGGCUCGUAGGCGGCCAACUAAGUCAUACGUGAAAUCCCUCAGCUUAACCGAGGAACUGCCUGUCAGACUGGAUGGCUUGAGACCGGGAGAGGUGAGUGGAAUUCCCAGUGUAGUGGUGAAAUACGUAGAGAUUGGGAAGAACACCAGUGGCGAAGGCGGCUAUCUGGACGGUUUCUGACGCUAAGACGCGAAAGCGUGGGGAGCAAACAGG
rnacentral:rRNA from 1 species